GAUGAACGCUGGCGGCGUGCCUAAUACAUGCAAGUCGAGCGAACGGACGAGAAGCUUGCUUCUCUGAUGUUAGCGGCGGACGGGUGAGUAACACGUGGAUAACCUACCUAUAAGACUGGGAUAACUUCGGGAAACCGGAGCUAAUACCGGAUAAUAUUUUGAACCGCAUGGUUCAAAAGUGAAAGACGGUCUUGCUGUCACUUAUAGAUGGAUCCGCGCUGCAUUAGCUAGUUGGUAAGGUAACGGCUUACCAAGGCAACGAUGCAUAGCCGACCUGAGAGGGUGAUCGGCCACACUGGAACUGAGACACGGUCCAGACUCCUACGGGAGGCAGCAGUAGGGAAUCUUCCGCAAUGGGCGAAAGCCUGACGGAGCAACGCCGCGUGAGUGAUGAAGGUCUUCGGAUCGUAAAACUCUGUUAUUAGGGAAGAACAUAUGUGUAAGUAACUGUGCACAUCUUGACGGUACCUAAUCAGAAAGCCACGGCUAACUACGUGCCAGCAGCCGCGGUAAUACGUAGGUGGCAAGCGUUAUCCGGAAUUAUUGGGCGUAAAGCGCGCGUAGGCGGUUUUUUAAGUCUGAUGUGAAAGCCCACGGCUCAACCGUGGAGGGUCAUUGGAAACUGGAAAACUUGAGUGCAGAAGAGGAAAGUGGAAUUCCAUGUGUAGCGGUGAAAUGCGCAGAGAUAUGGAGGAACACCAGUGGCGAAGGCGACUUUCUGGUCUGUAACUGACGCUGAUGUGCGAAAGCGUGGGGAUCAAACAGGAUUAGAUACCCUGGUAGUCCACGCCGUAAACGAUGAGUGCUAAGUGUUAGGGGGUUUCCGCCCCUUAGUGCUGCAGCUAACGCAUUAAGCACUCCGCCUGGGGAGUACGACUGCAAGGUUGAAACUCAAAGGAAUUGACGGGGACCCGCACAAGCGGUGGAGCAUGUGGCUUAAUUCGAAGCAACGCGAAGAACCUUACCAAAUCUUGACAUCCUUUGACAACUCUAGAGAUAGAGCCUUCCCCUUCGGGGGACAAAGUGACAGGUGGUGCAUGGUUGUCGUCAGCUCGUGUCGUGAGAUGUUGGGUUAAGUCCCGCAACGAGCGCAACCCUUAAGCUUAGUUGCCAUCAUUAAGUUGGGCACUCUAAGUUGACUGCCGGUGACAAACCGGAGGAAGGUGGGGAUGACGUCAAAUCAUCAUGCCCCUUAUGAUUUGGGCUACACACGUGCUACAAUGGACAAUACAAAGGGCAGCGAAACCGCGAGGUCAAGCAAAUCCCAUAAAGUUGUUCUCAGUUCGGAUUGUAGUCUGCAACUCGACUACAUGAAGCUGGAAUCGCUAGUAAUCGUAGAUCAGCAUGCUACGGUGAAUACGUUCCCGGGUCU
rnacentral:rRNA from 1 species